rnacentral:lncRNA from 1 species
UCUCUCUCUCUCUCUCUCUUUUAAGAUUAAUUUUCGGAACAACACCUAUAUUUGGACCAUCUAUACCCUCUUAGAGAAGGUGCAACCAAUGGGCUAUAGCCCUGCUUGCCGAGUAGCCCAAAAUCUUGGAUUUCUACAUGGUCUGGACUAUUUGUCAAGUCUACCAUUACAAUCCAUAAUUAUAUUAUAUAGUAUAAUAUAAUAACAAACUAUUUGCUCAUCUAUUUGACUCCAUUAUCCCGUUGUCACAUCAUCAAAAAAGGUCCUUCAACAAUUGUGUUGUUCCUUAUUUUGCUUUUUUUAACAAUUACAGGUGAUAUGCAAAUUUGUAUCUAUCAUAUGAUGUUGUUUUCUAACGAUUACUUGCAUGUGAAGGAUGUAUAUUUGGGUUACAGAGAUCUGCAUGCUCUUUGCUUUUAAUUUCUAACAGUUUGUGUUCAUAAAUGCACAGGUUUCUGGAAUUUUUUCUCUACUAACUCUAAAUUAUCAUGCACUAAAUUGAUUGCGCUCGAUAAUCUUGGAUUUAGUCAGAUUUUUAAAGACAUCAUAAUUAGAUUGUCCAGCACACUUGGAUACAGCUUCAAACCACUACGUGUACUCAACUUUUUGUGCACUUCAGCUAGCAUCUAAACAUCAAUCAUGCGAUACCUUUUCUCUUUGCAUUUACUUUUCAUAGUUUUAAUCAUAAUCUAAAUCAUCAAUGAUGCAUGCAAUAUGCAAGUGUUCUCUUUUUUUCUCUUGCUUGAUCAUGGUAACUUAUGCAUUAAGCAAAAUAUUUAUUUAAUGUUAAGUACUUUUUUGAAUCAAGACCUAUCUCUGUUUGACGUAAAUCAUUCAUUCACCUUAAGCUUAUGGGCCAAAAGCAAUAUUCUCCUCACUCAUAGUUUGCAAUUUGCAUCACACAAAAGAUGCUACGUUUGAAAGGUUAAACACUUAAUAUCGAUUCUCUUUUUGCUCCUCAAUCUGUCCACGUGGUGCAAUUUUUGGAAGAAAGCAACAGAAGAGUCACAUAAUAGUUGAACAACUACUUUUAAUUGUCUGGUACAAGCUGAAACAAUUCAUAGAAUUAAAUAUUUAGACUCCACCCCACCCCCACCUCUUUAACUUGAUUUCAGUAGCUGAGGUGUUAAGCAAAUCAUCCAUUCAAUAUGCAACACAUAUACACUUAGCUUUAAUCAAACCAAAUCGG